rnacentral:rRNA from 1 species
CAGCCGCCGCGGGAAUACGUAGGUGGCAAGCGUUGUCCGGAAUUAUUGGGCGUAAAGGGCUCGCAGGCGGUUUCUUAAGUCUGAUGUGAAAGCCCCCGGCUCAACCGGGGAGGGUCAUUGGAAACUGGGAAACUUGAGUGCAGAAGAGGAGAGUGGAAUUCCACGUGUAGCGGUGAAAUGCGUAGAGAUGUGGAGGAACACCAGUGGCGAAGGCGACUCUCUGGUCUGUAACUGACGCUGGGGAGCGAAAGCGUGGGGAGCGAACAGGAUUAGAUACCCCGGUAGUCCCUGUCUCUUAUAC